rnacentral:rRNA from 1 species
UGCAAGUAGAACGCUGAAGAGAGGAGCUUGCUCUUCUUGGAAGAGUUGCGAACGGGUGAGUAACGCGUAGGUAACCUGCCUUGUAGCGGGGGAUAACUAUUGGAAACGAUAGCUAAUACCGCAUAACAAUGGGUGACCCAUGUCAUUCAUUUGAAAGGGGCAACUGCUCCACUACAAGAUGGACCUGCGUUGUAUUAGCUAGUAGGUGAGGUAACGGCUCACCUAGGCGACGAUACAUAGCCGACCUGAGAGGGUGAUCGGCCACACUGGGACUGAGACACGGCCCAGACUCCUACGGGAGGCAGCAGUAGGGAAUCUUCGGCAAUGGGGGCAACCCUGACCGAGCAACGCCGCGUGAGUGAAGAAGGUUUUCGGAUCGUAAAGCCCUGUUGUAAGUCAAGAACGAGUGUGAGAGUGGAAAGUUCACACUGUGACGGUAGCUUACCAGAAAGGGACGGCUAACUACGUGCCAGCAGCCGCGGUAAUACGUAGGUCCCGAGCGUUGUCCGGAUUUAUUGGGCGUAAAGCGAGCGCAGGCGGUUUGAUAAGUCUGAAGUUAAAGGCUGUGGCUCAACCAUAGUUCGCUUUGGAAACUGUCAAACUUGAGUGCAGAAGGGGAGAGUGGAAUUCCAUGUGUAGCGGUGAAAUGCGUAGAUAUAUGGAGGAACACCGGUGGCGAA